rnacentral:tRNA from 1 species
GAAGCAUAGCUCAGCUGGUAGAGCGCUACCCUUACAAGGUAGAUGUCACAGGUUCGAGCCCUGUUGUUUCC